CCCCUAGAUGUUCUGGGCCGCACGCGCGCUACACUGACCAGUGCAACAAGCAUCCGUCCUUGGCCGACAGGCCCGGGCAAUCUUUGAACGCUGGUCGUGAUGGGGAUAGACUUUUGCAAUUUUUGGUCUUCAACGAGGAAUUCCUAGUAAACGCAAGUCAUCAACUUGCAUUGAUUACGUCCCUGCCCUUUGUACACACCGCCCGUCGCACCUACCGAUUGAAUGGUCCGGUGAAGCCUCCGGAUUGGCGCGCACCUCGGUGCCGCCGAGAAGUUGGCUAAACCUUACCAUUUAGAGGAAGGUGAAGUCGUAACA
rnacentral:rRNA from 1 species